AAUAGAUACCCUGGUAGUCCACGCCGUAAACGAUGAGUGCUAAGUGUUAGGGGGUUUCCGCCCCUUAGUGCUGCAGCUAACGCAUUAAGCACUCCGCCUGGGGAGUACGACCGCAAGGUUGAAACUCAAAGGAAUUGACGGGGGACCCGCACAAGCGGUGGAGCAUGUGGUUUAAUUCGAAGCAACGCGAAGAACCUUACCAAAUCUUGACAUCCUUUGACCGCUCUAGAGAUAGAGUCUUCCCCUUCGGGGGACAAAGUGACAGGUGGUGCAUGGUUGUCGUCAGCUCGUGUCGUGAGAUGUUGGGUUAAGUCCCGCAACGAGCGCAACCCUUAAGCUUAGUUGCCAUCAUUAAGUUGGGCACUCUAGGUUGACUGCCGGUGACAAACCGGAGGAAGGUGGGGAUGACGUCAAAUCAUCAUGCCCCUUAUGAUUUGGGCUACACACGUGCUACAAUGGAUAAUACAAAGGGCAGCGAAUCCGCGAGGCCAAGCAAAUCCCAUAAAACUUAUUCUCAGUUCGGAUUGUAGUCUGCAACUCGA
rnacentral:rRNA from 1 species